CAGGAAGUAGUUUAAGUAGAAUAUCAGCUUUGGGUGCUGAUGGUGGAGGAGUGGUCCUUCCUUCUUGA
rnacentral:tRNA from 1 species